UACGAAGGGGGCUAGCGUUGCUCGGGAAUCACUGGGCGUAAAGCGCACGUAGGCGGAUCUUUAAGUCAGGGGUGAAAUCCCAAGGCUCAACCUUGGAACUGCCUUUGAUACUGGGGAUCUCGAGUCCGGAAGAGGUUGGUGGAACUGCGAGUGUAGAGGUGAAAUUCGUAGAUAUUCGCAAGAACACCAGUGGCGAAGGCGGCCAACUGGUCCGGUACUGGACGCUGAGGUGGCGAAAGCGUGGGGAGCAAACAGG
rnacentral:rRNA from 1 species